AAGCUCCUUAGUGGUUGAGAAGCCUAGCUUUUUUUCUUUUCCUUCUAGGCCGCUGGGAAAUUCCCCCAUAUCAUACUUGAAACCGAGUAGGUUACCUUCUAAAGUGCUUGCUUGGUAGUGGCAUAUGCUCUUUCGUGGAAGGCCACCUACCUUUCAGAGUCAACCUAUACCUUCUUUCUUAGUAAUGCCCUUAUCAUUUUUCUUCAUCCUUCAUUCGUAAUGUGCCUGCUGCGAUAGCCUCCUGUGCUGCGAUAUAGCUCGGGCCUCUAGUGAGUGAGAACAUGGGCUUUUCUGGUCUUCAAUGAGUAAAGAAGAGAGCAUGGCCAAUUCUUUCGAUGGUUAGGAGGUAUGCAACCCUUUGUAUACGUGAGAAUCCAAGAUCCCUAUUCAUUGCUACCAACUGUGAUGCAAUAGGACACGACUGAUUUACAAAAGUGGCUUGGUGCAAGACGUAUGGUUGCUACCAUUUGUGGAUCAACUGAAAAGGAGCCUAUCGUAGUUGGGAAACCAUCUACAUUUAUGAUGGAUUUCUUAUUACAGAAGUACGC